AUUCUAGCGCUGGCUUAAUGAAUGUUUGCACAGAUUGGUGAUGGAUGCAGAGAGGGACGUCACAUGUGGGCCUGUAGAAAUGAUGAUGGACUAGCAGACAAGGAAGAAAGAAGAAUAAAGAGAUAUGGCUCAUGGACUCCAAAUCACAAAGUGCUGAGGCAUGGCACUGUGGCAAUAACAGAAAGCCCCAGUUCUUCCCCAUCAACAUCAAAAUGAGAGCUGUGUAACCUGAGGCCUGCCCUUGGCUUGUACCAUACAGGCAGGCUUUCAUCCUAACCGGAGGCCCACCUUCAGCAUGUACCGUUCAGAAAUCAGAGCAAGAAACCCCAAAAUCUGCUGGAGAGGUCAAUGAAGACUUCAUGAAAGAAGUUCUGUGUCACUUGAACUUCACAAAUGAAUUCAAGUUUGGCAAGUGAACAACUUGAAAGAACAUUCCAGGCCCUGGCAACCUUCAUUCUACUCUGUGUUUCCUCAAAUUUGACUAGUCUGGGUACCUCAUGUAAGUUGAAUUAUACAGUAUUUUAGUCUUUUGGUGACUGACUUAUUUUGUUUAGCAUAAGUUUCAUCCACAGUGCAACAUGUGCUUGCAACUUCCUUUUAAAAGCUGAGUAUUAUUUCAUUGUUUGUAGAAAUCUCAUUUUGUUUGUUGCUUUACCUGUUGAUGAGCUAUCGGGUUGCCUCAACCUCUUGACUCAUGAGUAGUGCUUUUAGGAAUAUGGUGUACAAAUAUCUCAUUGGGAACCUAAUUUCAUUUUUUUUGGGGGGGGAUAUGUACCCAGAAGAGGAAUUGCUGGACUACAUGGUAAUUCUAUUUUUAUUUUUUGAGGAAAUGCCAUAUUGUUUUCAGUCAUGGCUGUUCUAAACAGACCUCACCCCUGUGGUCCUUGGAAAGGUGAUUGAAGUCUGAUCUAAUGUCAGUUUCUUCUGCUGUCUGUGUUUGUGCAAGUGUGUGUGUGUGUGUGUGUGUGUGUGUAUUAAUAAGAAAUGAGAUAGAGCCAGUACACAGUAGUGAGGAGAAGGUACUGUUAAACAGUGUUACAACUCAGAAUCAUCAUCAGUUAACGCUGUUAAUUUUUAAGUAAUUCUUGGAGAGUGGCCAUGUAGGAUUUAACUCACCUUUAAUUGUUGAUUAUUACAGUUCUACUGAAGUGUUUGUUUACUCCAGCCAGACUUUCUGGAAAAUUACUUUAGUCAUUAGUAUUUCAUUUCCCUGACUAUGAGGAAACACCAAGGAAAAAUUGUAAUUCAGAUGAUUUCAUUUCUAUCAUUCUCUAAGGUCUGUAAUCCUUAUACUUUAAACUUUGUCCAAAUUUCCUAAACUCUCUGUCUAAAUCACUGCUCGCUGAUAUUGAGGAGUCUUAGUAUUGCUGUCUGGAAUUUCUGUGGAACACUCUUAUUUACAACCUAGUAAUAUACUUGUGCUUUUUCAUCUUUGAGUGACCAUAUUGCUGCAUUUGUUUACGUAAGACUUCUUUAGCCCUGAAUUGAUGUUGCAGUAGGAUGUGAAUGUGUAACUGGCUGUGAGGGGCCCUCACCUUCACCUCACUGAGUCCCCCAGAAGGCCUGUCCCGCAGGGGGAGACGUAUACCACAACUUUCUGCAGCAGAGGUCACCUUUUUGAACAAUGCAUUUCAAACUAAAGAAAGCUCCUUGGUGAAGCUGUAUUUGCCUGGAAUUGUUUCAGAAUUAUUCUGUCUUGUGGUCCCAGAUCCUUACCAAUUAGAAAGAAUGUUGCCACUUUGCAUAUUAGAAUAAGUCCACAUUGCUUAAUGUGUAAGGAAAAUAUAGAGGAGUAAAAAUUUCCUGGAUAUCUGAUCAAAACAGUAUACCCAUCUCUCUUUUUUAAAUUUGUUUCUUUCUUCAUUUUAAAAUUCAUUAUUCUUUUCUGUCUGGAAAACAUGACCCAAUGCUUUCAUCAUAAAUUAUAUACUUUCCUGUCCUAAUUAUAGUCUUAGUUUUUUUCCCAAACUAU
rnacentral:lncRNA from 1 species